rnacentral:rRNA from 1 species
UACGAAGGGGGCUAGCGUUGUUCGGAAUUACUGGGCGUAAAGCGCACGUAGGCGGCUUUGUAAGUUAGAGGUGAAAGCCCGGAGCUCAACUCCGGAACUGCCUUUAAGACUGCAUCGCUUGAACGUCGGAGAGGUAAGUGGAAUUCCGAGUGUAGAGGUGAAAUUCGUAGAUAUUAGGAAGAGCACCGGUGGCGAAGGCGCAUAUCUGGGACAUUACUGACACUGAGGCGCGAAAGCGUGGGGAUCAAACAGG